rnacentral:rRNA from 1 species
UACAGAGGUCUCAAGCGUUGUUCGGAUUCAUUGGGCGUAAAGGGUGCGUAGGCGGCGCGGUAAGUCGGAUGUGAAAUCUCGGAGCUUAACUUCGAAACUGCAUUCGAUACUGCCGUGCUUGAGGACUGGAGAGGAGACUGGAAUUUACGGUGUAGCGGUGAAAUGCGUAGAUAUCAGGAAGAACACCCGUGGCGAAGGCGGCUCUCUGGGACGGUACUGACGCUGAGACGCGAAAGCGUGGGGAGCGAACAGG